UCAAGAACCUUCCACAAUGGACGAAAGUCUGAUGGAGCGACGCCGCGUGAUUGAUGAAGUCCCUUUGGGACGUAAAGAUCUUUUAUGAGGGAUGAAGUUUAUUGACAGUACCUCAUGAAUAAGAGGCUCCUAAUCUCGUGCCAGCAGGAGCGGUAAUACGAGAGCCUCAAGCGUUAUCCGGAAUUAUUGGGCGUAAAGGGUGCGUAGACGGUUAUGUUAGUCUUUUGUGAAAACUCCUCGCUCAACGAGGAAUCCGCGAAGGAAACGGCAUGACUAGAGAAUAUGAGAGGUGUGCGGAACUCAAGGUGUAGGGGUGAAAUCCGUUGAUAUCUUGGGGAACACCAAAGGCGAAGGCAGCACACUGGCAUAUUUCUGACGUUCAAGCACGAAAGCGUGGGUCGCGAAUGGG
rnacentral:rRNA from 1 species